UGACUAGUGAAUAAUUUGAUGUUCUCCUUUUUAUCUGUUUAGGUAAAACUUCAGCAUAAGAAAACCAAAGAGAGCAUAGAAUUCCCUUUUCUGCAACUCUUCACCAAUGUCGAAGGAUGCACAGUGGCUGAACUUCCGGUUCUCACAACCAGCUGUUCUUUCUCAUCAGUGAAAGAAUAUAUUCUUACCAUUACUACGGGCAAAAAUUCAACUUCAAGUACCAACGUGGAUGUAUAUGUCACUUUGUGGGGUUCCUUAGGAGACACAGGAAGAAGGAAACUAACCAGGAAAGGAGAGAAACUUUUCAGCAAAGGAAAGGUGGACAUAUUUAGAAUUGAAGCAGUAAAUAUUGGUCUUUUGCAAGCCUUGAAUGUGGAAAAAGGAAAAGGUCCUGACUGGCAACUGGAGAAAAUUGCCAUAAGAGAGGCAUCAGUAGUAGGAAAAGAAAUAGUGUUUCUAGCCCAUAAAUGGCUCAAAAGUGGAAGAAACCCAUCAGUUACAUUGAAUAUUACAGGUGACUUAAAACUGAAAAAUUCUUGUUUUAAAAAAAUUAUUUGAUUUUUUGAAUAACUUUUAUUAUCAAAAUAUAUGCAAAGAUAAUUUUCA
rnacentral:lncRNA from 1 species